rnacentral:rRNA from 1 species
AUACGUAGGGGGCGAGCGUUGUCCGGAAUGAUUGGGCGUAAAGGGCGCGUAGGCGGCCCGGUAAGUCUGGAGUGAAAGUCCUGCUUUUAAGGUGGGAAUUGCUUUGGAUACUGUCGGGCUUGAGUGCAGGAGAGGUAAGUGGAAUUCCCAGUGUAGCGGUGAAAUGCGUAGAGAUUGGGAGGAACACCAGUGGCGAAGGCGACUUACUGGACUGUAACUGACGCUGAGGCGCGAAAGUGUGGGGAGCAAACAGGAUUAGAUACCCUGGUAGUCCACACUGUAAACGAUGAAUGCUAGGUGUAGGGGGUAUCGACCCCUGCUGUGCCGCAGUUAACACAAUAAGCAUUCCGCCUGGGGAGUACGGCCGCAAGGUUGAAACUCAAAUGAAUUGGCGGGG